GAGAGAGAGAGAGAGAGGACGAUUCGAAGGUAGAUUGCAUGCCACUGCUUCCAAACGCCACUCCCUCCUUUUCACAGCCACCAAUCGCAGAAGCUACGUCACCUCUUUGCCCUUGAACGUGGUGAGGCGCUUAGUGAGUGAGAAAGUGAGACCACUCCGUUCCAGAGCCGUAUAUAGCUACGGCUCUGCUCCUUAGCCUGCUGUGACAGUCUUCCCCAGUGCAGCCACGAACAUCAGAAGAUUCCUACAAUCGAGAAGAAGCGUCUGGACAUUAUUCCUCUUCUCCACUAAGGUUUUUUUGGGAAGAUACCCGCCGGUAUAAGAUGAGGUUCCUAAGUCUGACCUUUUUGGUUAUGCUUUCCUCUGUGUCGUUCAGAGAAGAAGCUUUAGGAACGUCUACUGAACAGCCAAUUAUUGCAGAAGUCCUAGAAACACGCGUCAAGCAUCAGAAUAGUGAUCAGGCAAGAUUGAUUGUUGCAGAGAUCUUCUUUAGUCACGAGUGCAUCAAAGAUUGUCAGGAAAGAUCUGAACGUGGUUCCUGUGAGGUGGACACAGACUGCUGUGCUCGGGAGUUUAAAGGAGACUCUUACCUGUCUUGUCUUUCCAGUUAAAGAACGAUCAGACAGAUUGCUGACAGUCGCUUAACUUCACUUGACUAAGGAGUCUUUAGGCUGAUACAGAAAGUACUCUUGGGGUUCAGGUUAUAUAUUAAAAGCCUUAAUAUAUGUACCAUAGUGACAGGUAAUAUUUAUUGUAAUUUUCAUCUUGGUACCAUAGUUUCAAGCAAUUUUGCAAUGUGCUCUUUUUUUCAUGUUGGUACAAUAGUUUCACAUCCUAAUUUAAUGUAAUCCUCACAUUGGUAACGUAGUCCCAAAUUCUGUUCAUAUUGUAAUUUUCAUGUCAGUACCACAUUUAUCUUAUAUGCCCAAUAAUUAACAAAGAUUCCGAUUUAGUUUAUAGUGUGUGUAACUUUUGCUUCACUUUCGGUAUCCAGUUUAAUAACUGAUUUUGUGCCACGACUCUGAUCAUUUAAAAUUUCAAGCUUCAUAUUGGGACGUCAGUCACAUUCAGUAAUCUUCAUUAAUUUAUACCCCAGUUCCUCAGUAGCGACGUGAAGUUAAUUUUGACAUUGGCAUCAUUAGCCCUGUAAGGCAGUUUAGUCUAUUGUUUUGAU